UAGCUCAGAUGGUAGAGCGCUCGCUUAGCAUGCGAGAGGUACUGGGAUCGAUGCCCAGCAUCUCCA
rfam:Tropilaelaps mercedesae isolate Wuxi-XJTLT scaffold0000028209, whole genome shotgun sequence.